UACGAAGGGGGCUAGCGUUGCUCGGAAUCACUGGGCGUAAAGGGUGCGUAGGCGGGUCUUUAAGUCAGGGGUGAAAUCCUGGAGCUCAACUCCAGAACUGCCUUUGAUACUGGCGAGCUUGAGUUCGGGAGAGGUGAGUGGAACUGCGAGUGUAGAGGUGAAAAUUCGUAGAUAUUCGCAAGAACACCAGUGGCGAAGGCAGCUCACUGGCCCGAUACUGACGCUGAGGUGCGAAAGCGUGGGGGAGCAAACAGGG
rnacentral:rRNA from 1 species